GACGAACGCUGGCGGCGUGCUUAACACAUGCAAGUCGAACGGAAAGGCCCCUUUUGGGGUACUCGAGUGGCGAACGGGUGAGUAACACGUGUGUAACCUGCCCUUGACUUCGGGAUAACUUCAGGAAACUGGGGCUAAUACCGGCUAGGAAUCCUUGCUGCAUGGUGGGGGUUGGAAAGCUUCGGCGGUUUUGGAUGGACUGGCGGCUUAUCAGCUUGUUGGUGGGGUAGUGGCUUACCAAGGCUUUGACGGGUAGCCGGCCUGAGAGGGCGACCGGCCACAUUGGGACUGAGAUACGGCCCAGACGCCGACGGGAGGCAGCAGUGGGGAAGAUUGCACAAGGGGCGGAAGCCGGAUGCAGCAACGCCGCGUGCGGGAUGACGGCCUUCGGGUUGUAAAACGCUUUCAGCAGGGGCGAAGCUUGUGGUGACGGUACCUGCAGAAGAAGCACCGGCUAACUACGUG
rnacentral:rRNA from 1 species